GGAGCAGUACCCAAGCGGUUGAAGGGACUGGUCUUGAAAACCAGCAGAGGUUAGUAGCCUGCCAGGGUUCGAAUCCCUGCUGCUCCG
rnacentral:tRNA from 1 species